rnacentral:rRNA from 1 species
UGGUGGGUAGUUUGACUGGGGCGGUCUCCUCCUAAAGAGUAACGGAGGAGCACGAAGGUUGGCUAAUCCUGGUCGGACAUCAGGAGGUUAGUGCAAUGGCAUAAGCCAGCUUGACUGCGAGCGUGACGGCGCGAGCAGGUGCGAAAGCAGGUCAUAGUGAUCCGGUGGUUCUGAAUGGAAGGGCCAUCGCUCAACGGAUAAAAGGUACUCCGGGGAUAACAGGCUGAUACCGCCCAAGAGUUCAUAUCGACGGCGGUGUUUGGCACCUCGAUGUCGGCUCAUCACAUCCUGGGGCUGAAGUAGGUCCCAAGGGUAUGGCUGUUCGCCAUUUAAAGUGGUACGCGAGCUGGGUUUAGAACGUCGUGAGACAGUUCGGUCCCUAUCUGCCGUGGGCGCUGGAGAAUUGAGGGGGGCUGCUCCUAGUACGAGAGG